rnacentral:rRNA from 1 species
UACAGAGGUCUCAAGCGUUGUUCGGAUUCAUUGGGCGUAAAGGGUGCGUAGGUGGCGCGCUAAGUCAGGUGUGAAAUUUCGGAGCUUAACUCCGAAACUGCAUUUGAUACUGGCGUGCUUGAGGACUGGAGAGGAGACUGGAAUUCACGGUGUAGCAGUGAAAUGCGUAGAUAUCGUGAGGAAGACCAGUGGCGAAGGCGGGUCUCUGGACAGUCCCUGACACUGAGGCACGAAGGCCAGGGGAGCAAACGGG